rnacentral:rRNA from 1 species
AGCGUACACGGUGGAUGCCCUGGCAGUCAGAGGCGAUGAAGGACGUGCUAAUCUGCGAAAAGCGCCGGCGAGGUGAUAUGAACCUUUGACCCGGCGAUGUCCGAAUGGGGAAACCCAGUGUGUUCCGACACACUAUCGUUAACUGAAUACAUAGGUUAACGAGGCGAACCGGGGGAACUGAAACAUCUAAGUACCCCGAGGAAAAGAAAUCAACCGAGAUUCCCCCAGUAGCGGCGAGCGAACGGGGAGCAGCCCAGAGUCUGAAUCAGCUUGUGUGUUAGUGGAAGCGUCUGGAAAGUCGCACGGUACAGGGUGACAGUCCCGUACACGAAAGCACACAGGUUGUGAACUCGAAGAGUAGGGCGGGACACGUGGUAUCCUGUCUGAAUAUGGGGGGACCAUCCUCCAAGGCUAAAUACUCCUGACUGACCGAUAGUGAACCAGUACCGUGAGGGAAAGGCGAAAAGAACCCCGGCGAGGGGAGUGAAAAAGAACCUGAAACCGUGUACGUACAAGCAGUGGGAGCACCUUCGUGGUGUGACUGCGUACCUUUUGUAUAAUGGGUCAGCGACUUAUAUUCUGUAGCAAGGUUAACCGUAUAGGGGAGCCGAAGGGAAACCGAGUCUUAACUGGGCGUUAAGUUGCAGGGUAUAGACCCGAAACCCGGUGAUCUAGCCAUGGGCAGGUUGAAGGUUGGGUAACACUAACUGGAGGACCGAACCGACUAAUGUUGAAAAAUUAGCGGAUGACUUGUGGCUGGGGGUGAAAGGCCAAUCAAACCGGGAGAUAGCUGGUUCUCCCCGAAAGCUAUUUAGGUAGCGCCUCGUGAACUCAUCUUCGGGGGUAGAGCACUGUUUCGGCUAGGGGGCCAUCCCGGCUUACCAACCCGAUGCAAACUACGAAUACCGAAGAAUGUUAUCACGGGAGACACACGGCGGGUGCUAACGUCCGUCGUGAAGAGGGAAACAACCCAGACCGCCAGCUAAGGUCCCAAAGUCAUGGUUAAGUGGGAAACGAUGUGGGAAGGCACAGACAGCCAGGAUGUUGGCUUAGAAGCAGCCAUCAUUUAAAGAAAGCGUAAUAGCUCACUGGUCGAGUCGGCCUGCGCGGAAGAUGUAACGGGGCUAAACCAUGCACCGAAGCUGCGGCAGCGACGCUUAUGCGUUGUUGGGUAGGGGAGCGUUCUGUAAGCCGUUGAAGGUGGCCUGUGAGGGUUGCUGGAGGUAUCAGAAGUGCGAAUGCUGACAUAAGUAACGAUAAAGCGGGUGAAAAGCCCGCUCGCCGGAAGACCAAGGGUUCCUGUCCAACGUUAAUCGGGGCAGGGUGAGUCGACCCCUAAGGCGAGGCCGAAAGGCGUAGUCGAUGGGAAACAGGUUAAUAUUCCUGUACUUGGUGUUGCUGCGAAGGGGGGACGGAGAAGGCUAUGUUAGCCGGGCGACGGUUGUCCCGGUUUAAGCAUGUAGGCGGAGGUUCCAGGUAAAUCCGGUACCUUUUAACGCUGAGGUGUGAUGACGAGGCACUACGGUGCUGAAGUAACAAAUGCCCUGCUUCCAGGAAAAGCCUCUAAGCAUCAGGUAACACGAAAUCGUACCCCAAACCGACACAGGUGGUCAGGUAGAGAAUACCAAGGCGCUUGAGAGAACUCGGGUGAAGGAACUAGGCAAAAUGGUGCCGUAACUUCGGGAGAAGGCACGCUGAUAUGUAGGUGAAGCCCCUGCGGGUGGAGCUGAAAUCAGUCGAAGAUACCAGCUGGCUGCAACUGUUUAUUAAAAACACAGCACUGUGCAAACACGAAAGUGGACGUAUACGGUGUGACGCCUGCCCGGUGCCGGAAGGUUAAUUGAUGGGGUUAGCGGCAACGCGAAGCUCUUGAUCGAAGCCCCGGUAAACGGCGGCCGUAACUAUAACGGUCCUAAGGUAGCGAAAUUCCUUGUCGGGUAAGUUCCGACCUGCACGAAUGGCGUAAUGAUGGCCAGGCUGUCUCCACCCGAGACUCAGUGAAAUUGAACUCGCUGUGAAGAUGCAGUGUACCCGCGGCAAGACGGAAAGACCCCGUGAACCUUUACUAUAGCUUGACACUGAACACUGGUCCUUGAUGUGUAGGAUAGGUGGGAGGCUUUGAAGCGUGGACGCCAGUCUGCGUGGAGCCGUCCUUGAAAUACCACCCUUUAAUGGCUGGUGUUCUAACGUAGACCCGUGAUCCGGGUUGCGGACAGUGUCUGGUGGGUAGUUUGACUGGGGCGGUCUCCUCCCAAAGAGUAACGGAGGAGCACGAAGGUUAGCUAAUCCUGGUCGGACAUCAGGAGGUUAGUGCAAUGGCAUAAGCUAGCUUGACUGCGAGAGUGACGGCUCGAGCAGGUGCGAAAGCAGGUCAUAGUGAUCCGGUGGUUCUGAAUGGAAGGGCCAUCGCUCAACGGAUAAAAGGUACUCCGGGGAUAACAGGCUGAUACCGCCCAAGAGUUCAUAUCGACGGCGGUGUUUGGCACCUCGAUGUCGGCUCAUCACAUCCUGGGGCUGAAGUAGGUCCCAAGGGUAUGGCUGUUCGCCAUUUAAAGUGGUACGCGAGCUGGGUUUAGAACGUCGUGAGACAGUUCGGUCCCUAUCUGCCGUGGGCGCUGGAGAAUUGAGGGGGGCUGCUCCUAGUACGAGAGGACCGGAGUGGACGCAUCACUGGUGUUCGGGUUGUCAUGCCAAUGGCACUGCCCGGUAGCUAAAUGCGGAAAAGAUAAGUGCUGAAAGCAUCUAAGCACGAAACUUGCCCCGAGAUGAGUUCU